rnacentral:rRNA from 1 species
GGAUUUGUCAGUUGGUCGGGCUUCACUGUCCGUAUUGACUUAAUGGAUUCUUACCUUCUGAAUAACCAGCAUGCUAUUAAGUUAGUGCGUUGGGGAAGCAGAUCUUUUACUUUGAAAAAAUUAGAGUGUUUAAAGCAAGCUAACGCUUGAAUACAUUAGCAUGGAAUAAUAGAAUAGGACGGCAUGGUUCUAUUUUGUUGGUUUCUAGGAUCACCGUA